AAGACCAUACCCUACAUUCUCUCACCAUCUUCACCAUCUUCUUCACCCACUGCAACUUGUCUUAGAGAAGACGAAACACUCUCUCUCUGUGUGAUAAUAAUCAUAUCUUAAAGCGUCAAACAAAAAAACAAAAAAAGAGAACCAAAUGUUCUUCACUUUUUCGUUCUAUCGCCAUGUGAGUUCUGACACAUUCUAUUCUUCUUCUCGUGUUCCCUCUUUACUUCAUACCUCGCUGGUUUCCCCUGACUCACCAACUCGGUGAGUCAACUCGAUGGCCUCAUCCUCACGUGCAAGGAGCAGCUCGCCAUUCUCGCACCGCAAACCCUCCACUCCUCUCUCCUCAGCUUCCUCUUCCACUUCUUCCUUCACGAACGGACGCGUAAUGCCUCGCUCCUGUUCCUCUUCCACGUCAUCGUUUUACAACUCCGGUGGUGGUGGUCGAUCCAUGACUCCGAGUCGCGGUCACAGCGAGUCAGUCUGCUACGAUUACGGUAAUCCUUCGCCGGUGGAGUUCGGGAUGGACGAGGAGGUGAUCACGGAGCCUGUGGAUUCGUCCCGAGCUCGGGAUAGCAUUUCUGUCACGAUUCGGUUCAGACCGUUGAGUGAAAGAGAGUACCAGAGAGGAGACGAGAUCGCGUGGUAUGCGGACGGUGAUAAGAUUGUGAGGAAUGAGUAUAAUCCAGCUACUGCUUAUGCAUUUGAUAGAGUGUUUGGACCGCAUACGAAUUCCGACGAGGUGUAUGAAGUAGCUGCUAAACCUGUGGUGAAGGCUGCUAUGGAAGGUGUAAAUGGAACUGUGUUUGCAUACGGUGUGACGAGUAGUGGUAAGACACAUACUAUGCACGGAGACCAAUAUUCUCCUGGUAUCAUACCGCUGGCUAUCAAAGAUGUUUUCAGCAUUAUCCAAGAUACUCCAGGAAGAGAGUUCUUACUCCGUGUGUCAUAUCUAGAAAUAUACAAUGAGGUGAUAAAUGACUUGCUUGACCCAACUGGCCAAAAUUUACGUGUUAGAGAAGAUGCACAGGGAACUUAUGUGGAGGGUAUGAAGGAAGAAGUUGUUUUGUCUCCUGGACAUGCCCUUUCCUUUAUUGCUGCUGGAGAAGAGCAUCGUCAUGUUGGAUCAAACAAUUUUAACCUCUUUAGCAGCAGAAGUCACACCAUUUUUACACUUAUGAUUGAAAGCAGUGCCCAUGGUGAAGAUUAUGAUGGAGUCAUCUUCUCUCAGCUUAACUUGAUCGAUCUUGCUGGAUCUGAGAGCUCGAAAACUGAAACUACUGGAUUAAGAAGAAAAGAAGGAUCUUACAUAAACAAAAGUCUUCUGACACUUGGAACAGUUAUUGGAAAAUUGAGUGAGGGGAAAGCAUCUCAUGUUCCAUAUCGUGACUCAAAGCUUACUCGCCUCCUGCAGUCUUCACUUAGUGGGCAUGGCCACGUUUCACUUAUUUGCACUAUAACUCCAGCAUCCAGUAAUAUGGAAGAAACUCAUAAUACCUUGAAGUUUGCUAGCAGGGCCAAGCGAGUAGAAAUAUAUGCCUCACGUAAUAAGAUUAUUGACGAAAAAUCUCUAAUUAAGAAAUACCAAAGAGAAAUUUCAGUCCUCAAACAUGAACUUGAUCAGCUUAAGAAGGGGAUGCAACGUGGUGUCAACCAUGAAGAGAUUAUGACCUUAAAGCAAAAGUUGGAAGAAGGUCAAGUGAAAAUGCAGUCAAGAUUGGAAGAAGAGGAAGAAGCGAAGGUUGCUCUUAUGAGUCGGAUCCAGAAGCUAACCAAGCUCAUUCUGGUUUCAUCAAAGAACGCAAUUCCAGGAUAUCUAACUGAUGCUUCCAGCCAUCAGCAGAGUCCUUCUGUUGGUGAGGAUGAUAAAUAUGAUGCCCUACGUGAUGGAUCUCUUUUGGUUGAAAAUGAGAGUCAAAAAGAUGUUUCCACUGUGUCAUCUGAUCCGUCUCAUGAUGUUAGACAUAUAAUAUCGUCAAGUAGACGGAACGAAGAACUCUCCCCAACUAGCUGUAUCAUCACUGAAUCAACACGGCUGCUACCAGCGGGAGGGGUGACAAUGUCUGAUGAGAUGGAUCUUCUUGUCGAGCAAGUCAAAAUGCUUGCUGGGGAUAUUGCUUUCAGUACUAGCACUUUGAAACGCUUAAUAGAGCAGUCUGUAAAUGAUCCUGAAAGCUCCAAAAUACAGAUUGAGAACUUGGAACAAGAUAUCCAAGAAAAAAAGAAGCAAAUGAUGGUUUUAGAACAAAGAAUAAGUGAGAGUGGUGAAUCAUCCGUAGCUAACUCAUCACUGGUUGAAAUGCAGCAGGCAAUCGCAAGAUUAGUGACUCAGUGUGAUGAAAAGGCCUUUGAGCUGGAGAUAAAAUCUGCAGACAACCGUGUCCUUCAAGAACAGUUAGAUAAUAAGUGUUCUGAAAACAGAGAAUUGCAAGAAAAGGUGAAGCUGCUAGAGCAGCAACUGGCAACAAUUACUGGUGGUACCUCGUUAAUGUUUACUGAUCAGUGUCCAUCUGGUGAACACAUUGAUGAGUUGAAAAGGAAAAUACAAUCCCAGGAGAUUGAAAAUGAAAAAAUGAAGCUAGAGCAAGUUCACUUGUCAGAAGAGAAUAGUGGGUUGCAUGUGCAGAAUCAGAAACUCUCUGAAGAAGCUUCUUAUGCCAAAGAACUGGCCUCUGCAGCUGCUGUGGAGUUGAAGAAUUUGGCUGGGGAAGUGACCAAACUUUCAUUGCAGAAUGCAAAGUUGGAAAAGGAAUUGGUGGCUGCUCGAGACCAGGCCAAUGCUCGAAAUGGUGUUGUACAAACAGUUAAUGGUGUUAACCGCAAGUACAAUGAUGCAAGAUCAGGGAGGAAGGGAAGAAAUUCUAGCCGUGCUAAUGAAUGUCUGGGAGUUGGUAUGGAUGAGUUUGAGUCAUGGAGUCUUGAUGCUAAUGAUCUGAAGAUGGAACUGCAGGCUAGGAGACAGCGAGAGGCAGCUCUUGAGGCUGCAUUAGCUGAAAAGGAAUUUCUAGAAGAGGAGUACAGGAAAAAGGUUGAAGAGGCCAAAAAAAGAGAAGCCUCGUUGGAGAAUGAUUUGGCAAAUAUGUGGGUUCUUGUGGCUAAGUUAAAGAAAGAAGGGGGUGCCGUCCCAGAAUCAAACAUUGAUAUAAAAAAAGUUGAUGAGGAAGCACAUACAAAUGAUCUGAAAACUAAUGACUUUGAAAGUGGUAUUAUCCCCAAGGAGCAGAUUUUAGAUGUAUCAAUACCAGAAAAUGAAAUAACCAAUGAAGACCCCUUGGUUGUUCGACUCAAGGCACGCAUGAAAGAGAUGAGGGAAAAAGAAUUCAAGCAUCUUGGCAAUGGAGAUGCCAAUUCCCAUGUUUGUAAAGUAUGUUUUCAAUCUUCAACUGCAGCAAUUCUUCUUCCAUGCAGGCAUUUUUGUUUGUGUAAAUCUUGUUCACUUGCUUGUUCUGAAUGUCCAUUAUGCCGCACCAAUAUUUCAGAUAGACUUUUUGCUUUUACUUCUUGACUCUUCUAAAAAGGUUUUUUUUAUCUCAUUGAACUAAUAUAUCCGUGCGGCCACAGCAAUUGAUAUGCUAUUGAAGGAGUAAGGACGGAAAAUGGUGUAAGUUUUACGAUUUGAUUUACCUUUGCCAUUAUGUUUUUGUAAUUAUAAAGUUUACCAUUUGAGGACGGAACACGGUAGAUUCAGAUGAUUCUGAUAUUCAAGAAAUGCUAGAUGAUUUGAAGUGCUGUCGUGUACCUCACCAAUUUGGGUCAAACUUUAACGUAGGGGCGGUGGAAUAUUAUACAGAUGAGUGAAUUGGAUCCAUAGAAAUUCGACAUAAGUUCCAUGGUGUGAAAAACAUGAGGUUCAAGUUCAACAUACUGUACAGAUGAGUGGAUUAGUGUAUUUAUUGAUUUUUUCUUCUUUUAGUAAGUAUCCAUGAAUAUCUAUAUGUAUAUACAUGUGAAUAUAGAUAUAAUUUGUUUUCUCAGA